CCUGCCACUGUACCUGCCCUGCAUCCCGUGGCUUGUACUUUCCAGUGGUGAGCUGAGAGGAAGCCCCAGCCCAGGAAGCAGCCCUCCCCUGGCUGUGGGGAGGCCUGUGCCGAAAGGCUGGGAACAAGU
rfam:Mesitornis unicolor contig74275, whole genome shotgun sequence.